GAAUUGUUUGCAUUUUUCUAUUUUUCCUAAUUCUGGAGGCCAUCGAAAUAUAUAGAUUCCAGAAUGAAACAUGUAACUAGGCAUCUUUCUAACCUAGAUAAGUCUUAAAUAUUGUUUCUAGAGUAAGAUGACGAUAUUAAGGCAAACUAGAACAAUAACAUUAAUAUAUUUUCCUCUAUUCUUACAGACAGUGAUCUGACACAAACACAGCUGAAGCAAACAGAGGUCCUAGUGACAGCUGAAAAAUUGUCUUCAAAUUUACAGCACCAUUUCAGUUUGUCAUCUGUUUAUUCACAUUACUUUCCUGACACUGGAAUUCCAGAAGUGACCACCUGUCAUUCCCGAAGUGCCAUAACUGUGGAUU
rnacentral:lncRNA from 1 species